rnacentral:rRNA from 1 species
AUUGAACGCUGGCGGCAUGCCUUACACAUGCAAGUCGAACGGUAACGGGCCUUCGGGUGCCGCCGAGUGGCGAACGGGUGCGUAAUACAUCGGAACGUGCCCGAUCGUGGGGGAUAACGAGGCGAAAGCUUUGCUAAUACCGCAUACGAUCUACGGAUGAAAGCAGGGGACCGCAAGGCCUUGCGCGGACGGAGCGGCCGAUGGCAGAUUAGGUAGUUGGUGGGAUAAAAGCUUACCAAGCCGACGAUCUGUAGCUGGUCUGAGAGGAUGAUCAGCCACACUGGAACUGAGACACGGCCCAGACUCCUACGGGAGGCAGCAGUGGGGAAUUUUGGACAAUGGGCGCAAGCCUGAUCCAGCCAUGCCGCGUGCAGGAUGAAGGCCUUCGGGUUGUAAACUGCUUUUGUACGGAACGAAAAGCCUUCUUUUAAUACAGGAGGGUCAUGACGGUACCGUAAGAAUAAGCACCGGCUAACUACGUG